ACAAGGAUACUCCCGUCCAGCCACAGCCCGAGCGUGACAGCGGUUUUCGGUCGUGAAGCCGUCGCAGGCAAUGGGGGCGGUCGCAUGAGAACCAUGCGGGGAUGAGAUUCCCGUGG
rfam:Ruminiclostridium sp. KB18, complete genome.